rnacentral:rRNA from 1 species
GAUGAACGCUGGCGGCGUGCCUAAUACAUGCAAGUCGAGCGAACGGACGAGAAGCUUGCUUCUCUGAUGUUAGCGGCGGACGGGUGAGUAACACGUGGAUAACCUACCUAUCAGACUGGGAUAACUUCGGGAAACCGGAGCUAAUACCGGAUGAUCUUUUGAACCGCAUGGUUCAAAAGUGAAAGACGGUCUUGCUGUCACUUAUAGAUGGAUCCGCGCUGCAUUAGCUAGUUGGUAAGGUAACGGCUUACCAAGGCAACGAUGCAUAGCCGACCUGAGAGGGUGAUCGGCCACACUGGAACUGAGACACGGUCCAUACUCCUACGGGAGGCAGCAGUAGGGAAUCUUACGCAAUGGGCGAAAGCCUGACGGAGCAACGCCGCGUGAGUGAUGAAGGUCUUCGGAUCGUAAAACUCUGUUAUUAGGGAAGAACAUAUGUGUAAGUAACUGUGCACAUCUUGACGGCACCUAAUCAGAAAGCCACGGCUAACUACGUG